rnacentral:rRNA from 1 species
CUACGGGCGGCUGCAGUGGGGAAUAUUGCACAAUGGGGGAAACCCUGAUGCAGCAACGCCGCGUGGAGGAUGACACAUUUCGGUGCGUAAACUCCUUUUAUAGGUCAAGAUAAUGACGGUAGCCUAUGAAUAAGCGCCGGCUAACUCCGUGCCAGCAGCCGCGGUAAUACGGAGGGCGCAGGCGUUACUCGGAAUCACUGGGCGUAAAGAGCAUGUAGGCGGGUUAAUAAGUCAGAAGUGAAAUCCAAUAGCUCAACUAUUGAACUGCUUUUGAAACUGUUAACCUAGAGUGUGGGAGAGGUAGAUGGAAUUUCUGGUGUAGGGGUAAGAUCCGUAGAGAUCAGAAGGAAUACCGAUUGCGAAGGCGAUCUACUGGAACAUUACUGACGCUGAGAUGCGAAAGCGUGGGGAGCAAACAGGAUUAGAUACCCCCGUAGUC